rnacentral:rRNA from 1 species
UAUGCGAAAAACAAACCUUAGCUAGCAGUAUCCUGAGUAGGGCGGGACACGAGGAAUCCUGUCUGAAUCCGGGUCGACCACGAUCCAACCCUAAAUACUAAUACCAGAUCGAUAGUGCACAAGUACCGUGAGGGAAAGGUGAAAAGAACUGAGGUGAUCAGAGUGAAAUAGAACCUGAAACCAUUUGCUUACAAUCAUUCAGAGCCCUAUGUAGCAAUACAGGGUGAUGGACUGCCUUUUGCAUAAUGAGCCUGCGAGUUGUGGUGUCUGGCAAGGUUAAGCAAACGCGAAGCCGUAGCGAAAGCGAGUCUGAAUAGGGCGCUUAGUCAGAUGCUGCAGACCCGAAACGAAGUGAUCUAUCCAUGAGCAAGUUGAAGCUAGUGUAAGAACUAGUGGAGGACUGAACCCAUAGGCGUUGAAAAGCCCCGGGAUGACUUGUGGAUAGGGGUGAAAGGCCAAUCAAACUUCGUGAUAGCUGGUUCUCUCCGAAAUAUAUUUAGGUAUAGCGUUGUGUCGUAAUAUAAGGGGGUAGAGCACUGAAUGGGCUAGGGCAUACACCAAUGUACCAAACCCUAUCAAACUCCGAAUACCUUAUAUGUAAUCACAGCAGUCAGGCGGCGAGUGAUAAAAUCCGUCGUCAAGAGGGAAACAACCCAGACUACCAGCUAAGGUCCCUAAAUCUUACUUAAGUGGAAAACGAUGUGAAGUUACUUAAACAACCAGGAGGUUGGCUUAGAAGCAGCCAUCCUUUAAAGAAAGCGUAAUAGCUCACUGGUCUAGUGAUUUUGCGCGGAAAAUAUAACGGGGCUAAAGU